rnacentral:ncRNA from 1 species
UGACAAUAAAUAACAAUAUUGGGCUCAUCGAGUCUGGUAAUUGGAAUGAGUACAAUCUAAAUCCCUUAACGAGGAUCCAUUGGAGGGAAAGUCUGGUGCCAGUAGCCGUGGUAAUUCAAGCUCCAAUAGCGUAUAUUUAAGUUGUUGCAGUUAAAAAGCUCGUAGUUGGAUCUUGGGUCGUAAAGGUCGGUCCGCCUACUUGGUGUGCACCUGCCCUUCCGUCCCUUUUGACGGUGGCGUGAUCCUGGCCUUAAAUGGAUGGGUCACGGUUCUGACGUUGUUACUUUGAAAAAAUUAGAGUGCUCAAAGCAAGCUUAUGCUCUGAAUACAUUAGCAUGGAAUAACGCGAUAGGAUUCUGGUCCUAUUGUGUUGGCCUUCGGGACUGGAGUAAUGAUUAAUAGGGACUGUCGGGGGUAUUCGUAUUUCAUUGUCAGAGGUGAAAUUCUUGGAUUUAUGAAGAUGAACCACUGCAAAAUCCUUUUCCAAGGAUGUUUUCAUUAAUCAAGAACGAAAGUUGGGGGCUCAAAUAUGAUCAGAUACCGUCCUAGUCUCAACCAUAAACAAUGCCAACCAGGGAUCGACGGAUGUUGCUCUAAGGACUCCACUAGAACCUUAUGAGAAAUCAGAGUGUUUGGGUUCCGGGGGGAGUAUGGUCACAAGGAUAAAACUUAAAGGAAUUUACAGAAGGGAACCACCAGGAGUGGAGCCUGCGGCUUAAUUUGACUCAACACGUGAAAACUUACCAGGUCCAGACAUAGUAAGGAUUGACAGAUUGAGAGCUCUUUCUUGAUUCUAUGGGUGGUGGUGCAUGGCCAUUCUUAGUUGGUGGAGCGAUUUGUCUAGGUAAUUAUGAUAACGAACGAGACCUCAGCCUGCUAACUAGCUACGCAGAGGUUCCCCUUCAUGACCAACUUCUUAGAGGGACUAUGGACAUUUAAGCCAUGGAAUUUUGAGGCAAUAACAGGUCUGUGAUGCGCUUAGAUGUUCUGGGCUGCACGUGCACUACACUGAUGCAGUCAACUAUUUUUUCUCCCUGGUUCGAGAGGAUCGAGAAAUAUUCUCAAAUUGCAUCGUGAUGGGGAUAGACCAUUGAAAUUAUUGGUCUUCAACGAGGAAUUCCUAGUAAGCACAUGUCAUCAGCUCGUGUUGACUACGUCCCUACCCUUUGUACACACCGCCCAUUGCUCCUACCGAUUGAAUGAUCUGGUGAAGUGUUUGGAUCGUGUCAACGAGGGUGGUUCGCUGCCGACGAUGUAGUGAGAAGUUCACUGAACCUUAUCAUUUAGAGGAAGGAGAAGUCGUAACAAGAUUACCGUAGGUGAACCUGUGGUAGGAUCAUUG